AAAAGUUUAGUUAAAAAAAUAACGCUGGUUUGUCAAGCCAAAAUUACCUUAAAGUAACUUUUA
rnacentral:tRNA from 1 species